rnacentral:rRNA from 1 species
AUUGAACGCUGGCGGCAGGCCUAACACAUGCAAGUCGAGCGAGCGGCGGACGGGUGAGUAAUGUAUGGGGACUGCCCGAUAGAGGGGGAUAACUACUGGGAAAGGUGGCUAAUACCGCAUACGGUCAGGUACCCCAUAUGGGAUUAGCUAGUAGGUAAGGGAAUGGCUUACCUAGGCGACGAUCCCUAGCUGGUCUGAGAGGAUGAUCCGCCACACUGGGACUGAGACACGGCCCAGACUCCUACGGAGGCAGCAGUGUGGAAUAUUGCACAAUGGGCGCAAGCCUGAUGCAGCCAUGCCGCGUGUAUGAAGAAGGCCCUAGGGUUGUAAAGUACUUUCAGUCGGGAGGCGUUACCGACAGAAGAAGCACCGGCUAACUCCGUGCCAGCAGCCGCGGUAAUAC